UACGUAGGGUGCGAGCGUUGUCCGGAAUCACUGGGUGUAAAGGGAGCGCAGGCUGGUCAGAAAGUCGUUGGUGAAAUCCGGAGGCUCAACCUCAGGACUGCCAAUGAUACUGCUGAUCUUGAGUACAGAAGAGGAAGACGGAAUUCCUGGUGUAGCGGUGAAAUGCGUAGAUAUCAGGAAGAACACCGGUGGCGAAGGCGGUCUUCUGGUCUGUAACUGACGCUCAUGCUCGAAAGCGUGGGGAGCAAACAGG
rnacentral:rRNA from 1 species